rnacentral:misc_RNA from 1 species
UCCGGUUUGUCACCGGCAGUCCCAUUAGAGUGCCCAACUGAAUGUAGCAACUAAUGGCAAGGGUUGCGCUCGUUGCGGGACUUAACCCAACAUCUCACGACACGAGCUGACGACAGCCAUGCAGCACCUGUGCUGGCGCUCCGAAGAGGGGCCGGUGUUUCCACCGGCUUGCACCAGCAUGUCAAGCCCAGGUAAGGUGGGGAUGACGUACCAAGGUUGGUU